rnacentral:rRNA from 1 species
GAUGAACGCUGGCGGCGUGCCUAAUACAUGCAAGUCGAGCGAACGGACGAGAAGCUUGCUUCUCUGAUGUUAGCGGCGGACGGGUGAGUAACACGUGGAUAACCUACCUAUAAGACUGGGAUAACUUCGGGAAACCGUAGCUAAUACCGGAUAAUAUUUUGAACCGCAUGGUUCAAAAGUGAAAGACGGUCUUGCUGUCACUUAUAGAUGGAUCCGCGCUGCAUUAGCUAGUUGGUAAGGUAACGGCUUACCAAGGCAACGAUGCAUAGCCGACCUGAGAGGGUGAUCGGCCACACUGGAACUGAGACACGGUCCAGACUCCUACGGGAGGCAGCAGUAGGGAAUCUUCCGCAAUGGGCGAAAGCCUGACGGAGCAACGCCGCGUGAGUGAUGAAGGUCUUCGGAUCGUAAAACUCUGUUAUUAGGGAAGAACAUAUGUGUAAGUAACUGUGCACAUCUUGACGGUACCUAAUCAGAAAGCCACGGCUAACUACGUGCCAGCAGCCGCGGUAAUACGUAGGUGGCAAGCGUUAUCCGGAAUUAUUGGGCGUAAAGCGCGCGUAGGCGGUUUUUUAAGUCUGAUGUGAAAGCCCACGGCCCAACCGUGGAGGGUCAUUGGAAACUGGAAAACUUGAGUGCAGAAGAGGAAAGUGGAAUUCCAUGUGUAGCGGUGAAAUGCGCAGAGAUAUGGAGGAACACCAGUGGCGAAGGCGACUUUCUGGUCUGUAACUGACGCUGAUGUGCGAAAGCGUGGGGAUCAAACAGGAUUAGAUACCCUGGUAGUCCACGCCGUAAACGAUGAGUGCUAAGUGUUAGGGGGUUUCCGCCCCUUAGUGCUGCAGCUAACGCAUUAAGCACUCCGCCUGGGGAGUACGACCGCAAGGUUGAAACUCAAAGGAAUUGACGGGGACCCGCACAAGCGGUGGAGCAUGUGGUUUAAUUCGAAGCAACGCGAAGAACCUUACCAAAUCUUGACAUCCUUUGACAACUCUAGAGAUAGAGCCUUCCCCUUCGGGGGACAAAGUGACAGGUGGUGCAUGGUUGUCGUCAGCUCGUGUCGUGAGAUGUUGGGUUAAGUCCCGCAACGAGCGCAACCCUUAAGCUUAGUUGCCAUCAUUAAGUUGGGCACUCUAAGUUGACUGCCGGUGACAGACCGGAGGAAGGUGGGGAUGACGUCAAAUCAUCAUGCCCCUUAUGAUUUGGGCUACACACGUGCUACAAUGGACAAUACAAAGGGCAGCGAAACCGCGAGGUCAAGCAAAUCCCAUAAAGUUGUUCUCAGUUCGGAUUGUAGUCUGCAACUCGACUACAUGAAGCUGGAAUCGCUAGUAAUCGUAGAUCAGCAUGCUACGGUGAAUACGUUCCCGGGUCU